rnacentral:rRNA from 1 species
UACGGAGGGAGCUAGCGUUGUUCGGAAUUACUGGGCGUAAAGCGCACGUAGGCGGCUUUGUAAGUCAGAGGUGAAAGCCUGGAGCUCAACUCCAGAACUGCGUUUGAGACUGCAUCGCUCGAAUCCGGUAGAGGUGGGUGGAAUUCCGAGUGUAGAGGUGAAAUUCGUAGAUAUUCGGAAGAACACCAGUGGCGAAGGCGGGUCACUGGACCGGUAUUGACGCUGAGGUGCGAGAGCGUGGGGAGCAAACAGG